UACGUAGGGUGCGAGCGUUAAUCGGAAUUACUGGGCGUAAAGCGUGCGCAGGCGGCGCGUUAAGACAGGUGUGAAAGCCCGCAGCUUAACUUGGGAAUUGCGCUUGUGACUGGCGUGCUGGAGUGUGGCAGAGGGGAGGUGGAAUUCCACGUGUAGCAGUGAAAUGCGUAGAGAUGUGGAGGAACACCGAUGGCGAAGGCAGCCUCCUGGGCCAGCACUGACGCUGAGACGCGAAAGCGUGGGGGAGCGAACAGG
rnacentral:rRNA from 1 species